UCAAGAUGCUCGCUGCCAGAAUACACACAAGCCCGCCAUAGAUCUUUGCAGCAUUUCAACACUCCUGCAGUGUUGUGCACCGUGCUGGAGGGAAGCUAAACAGCACAAAAGCCCGUCGCUGCUCUGCUUCUAAUCGUCAGUGUGGGAACGCACAUUAUAAUUGUUUGUUCAAUUAUUUUUCUUGGACGCCGCACCUGCACCUCACCAAGUGAACUCCUGAGGCCAAAGCGCAAUUAAGCAGCGUUGACGCCUGUUUAAACAGCGAGGAGGGAGUCAGAUAAAUACCUUUUUAGCACUCAAGCAGGCUGGAAGUGCCAGAUGUGGGCGAAGGAUAAAGGAAGGCAGCAAGUCGUGCUGACCAGCGUCGACACCCUCUGAAAUGUUUAGUGAGAGGGAAGUGCAGAGGUGUGAAGAGAAAAAGUUCAACGCUUCAGUGAGGACGAGCCCUGCAAAGGUUCAUGCACGUGAGAAAAUGAGCUUCACGAAACAACAUG